rnacentral:snoRNA from 13 species
UGGCGAUGAGGAAAUACCUGUAUUGAAUGCACGGUGAUAACUUCAUACGCUAUUCUGAGCCGGCA